rnacentral:rRNA from 1 species
GAUGAACGCUGGCGGCGUGCCUAAUACAUGCAAGUCGAACGGAAAGACGCGGAGCUUGCGGCUCUGACGUUAGGGGAGGACGGGUGAAUCACGCGAGGAUCACCUACUUGUAAGUGGGAGAACACUAGGAGAAAGGGGCUAUAAUACGAGAGGAUCUAUUGAAGCAUGGUGGGGGUUGGUAAGAGUCGGUGGUGGGGGAUGGACUCGCGGCUUAUCAGCUUGAUGGGGGGGUAGGGGCUGACCAAGGCUUUGACGGGUAGCCGGCCUGAGAGGGUGACCGGCCACAUUGGGACUGAGAUACGGCCCAGACUCCUACGGGAGGCAGCAGUGGGGAAUAUUGCACAAUGGGCGGAAGCCUGAUGCAGCAACGCCGCGUGCGGGAUGACGUCCUUCGGGUUGUAAACCGCUUUCGCCUGUGACGAAGCGUGAGUGACGGUAAUGGGUAAAGAAGCACCGGCUAACUACGUG